GAUGAAGAACGUAGCGAAAUGCGAUAAGUAAUGUGAAUUGCAGAAUCCAGUGAAUCAUCGAAUCUUUGAACGCACAUUGCGCCCGCCAGCAUUCUGGCGGGCAUGCCUGUUCGAGCGUCAUUUCAACCCUCGACCUCCCCUUGGGGAGGUCGGCGUUGGGGACCGGCAGCACACCGCCGGCCCUGAAAUGGAGUGGCGGCCCGUCUGCGGCGACCUCUGCGUAGUAAUACAGCUCGCACCGGAACCCCGACGCGGCCACGCCGUAAAACACCCAACUUCUGAACGUUGACCUCGAAUCAGGUAGGACUACCCGCUGAACUUAAGCAUAUCAAUAAGCGGACGA
rnacentral:misc_RNA from 1 species